rnacentral:lncRNA from 1 species
GGGAGGAGCUAAGAAGAAAAGAUUAUUUGGUCUUGGGUUUGAAGCUGACAGUUACUAUGGGAAAAACUUUGUGGCUGUGAUGCCUCCUCAUAAUCAGUACCACCUUCGGUUUCUUUACCGACAAUAAAUUUGGAGGAGUUUGUGAAGCAAUUGAUUCUGGCACUUACUACUCAUUUUCUUCCGGUCUCUAUUGAGUGUGUUGGUGGUAUUAGGGUAUAAGAAGGGGCCAUGCUUGAUCCUCCUCCUACUAAUGAUGAUGAUGAUGACGCUGUUGAUUCCUAGAUUCAUAGUAUUUGUAGUCCUUG